UGGUGGACUUUUCAACUACAGUAUAUGGCUAUAGGUAUUCGUAGAUUAUUUUUGUGCUUGUGAGAUAUUAAGCAUAUGACUGUAAUUGAAUCUGGCAUGUUUAAGUUGACUAGCAAAUAAAUCAUAUUUUAAACUGGUGCAAUGCACCGCCGUGAACUUGCCGUUAGAUGGGUGCUUUUACUCUCUGUAGUAAGAUAAGCGCCGUUUUUUUGCUUUGAUUUUUUUCCUUGUUUGUUUGUUUGUUUAUUUAGUGUUUUCAAUGAUUAUUUUUCUGUGUUUUAUUCUGGGUAAUUUUUUUUACGUUCGGUUUCAAAAACAUAUUUCGUGAUUAAAUGGGAAUGUUAGAAAUAACGAGGCAGCAACCGAGCGACAUACAAAUGGUACUAUGUUAUGAUUUCUU
rnacentral:lncRNA from 1 species